GGGGAAUAUUGCGCAAUGGGGGAAACCCUGACGCAGCAACGCCGCGUGGAGGAUGAAGGCCUUCGGGUCGUAAACUCCUGUCAGGUGGGAAGAAUAGGUUGCAGCAAACAACUGCAACCCUUGACGGUACCACCAGAGGAAGCCCCGGCUAACUCCGUGCCAGCAGCCGCGGUAAUACGGAGGGGGCAAGCGUUAUUCGGAAUCAUUGGGCGUAAAGGGCGCGUAGGCGGCUUGGCGAGUCAAAGGUGAAAUCCCUCGGCCCAACCGAGGAACCGCCUUUGAUACUGCCUCGCUCGAGGCCGGGAGAGGGUAGCGGAAUUCCCAGUGUAGCGGUGAAAUGCGUAGAUAUUGGGAGGAACACCAGUGGCGAAGGCGGCUACCUGGACCGGUUCUGACGCUGAUGCGCGAAAGCGUGGGGAGCAAAC
rnacentral:rRNA from 1 species